UCCGCUCCAAAACAUUUCCCUCUCACUGAAAAAUUGGGUCAACAACAUUAACAUUCUCAUUUCUUGUCGUCGAUGCUCUACCUCUAAAUUCGUUGAUAGAGCGGAGCAAAGAAAAGCAGAUCGACAAAACCUAGCAUGAUAGUUUAAUUGAGCAUGUCAAAGCCUUGCCAUAUUCAAUGAAAGUGUUCAUUAUGAUUACGCAAAGUUUCGUCACUGAUAUUUCUUCUAGGACUUUGACAAACCCUGUGGAGCUCAUAAAAUGCUUGAGAUCCAUUAAAAAGAAUGCUUUUUUUAACAUCUCCGUAUCCUGUUAUAAUUACUCUUCAAGAUGACCUGACACCAGAUCUUCAGGCUAACGUGGCUAAGCGAUUCAAGUGAAGAUGAUGUUGAUGACCAAGAGCGCCUUUCAGAAGCAUCUGACUACAGGAGCCCAAAUGCCAUUCAUGUUUAAAACUAAGCACCUUUGUACAAGAAGGAAAUCUUUUUUGAGUUUUGCUAUGUCAGCUUCCUUGUUGCUGCAGCUGGCUUGCAGAGUUUGUUGAGCCAUUCGCUGGCCAUUGUAGACAUUUAUGCACUUCUCGUGAUGCGAUCCUUGUAGAAUAAUCGAAUUGUUACUUUGUUUGCUUUUGGUUAUGGGGUGAGAUAAUGCACUUAACAGUAACAUAACUCAGUCGUUGCAGCACAUAACUUUGUUUGCUUUUUGAUAUAGAUGACUGCAAUUAGUCUAUUGCCUAGUUUUUUUUGUCGUGUGACACCGACUAACUAGGAAUAUUUUAAAUUGCUUCGUUUUGCAUAUGAUGCUUUGUAGAGAAUUUGUUGAAAUUUUCCUUUUUCUUUUUAAAUGAAAGUGCAAAUCAGCAAUAAUUUCAUCAAAUUUCUUUUUAAUUUAGAAAAUCUUGGUCAUGAUAGCUCUGGUCAUUGUUGCUUUGUAAUCACAUGUAGCAUCAGAUUUUCAUAGAAGUACUGGAAAACUUAAGCUAUUCACUGAUAGUUCAAUUCUGGAUGGAGCCAAUUCUAAAUUGAGUUUUGAUGUAAGGGAUGUUUUUCUGGUAACUUUUCGCAGAAAAAUGUAUAUAAACAAGAUGUGAACUUCAAAAAUUCUAGGAAUACUACAUUUUGAAUAGAAAACCUUUGAAGUUCAGUUGUGAAAACCAUUCAUCACUUCCAUUCCCAACUAUUUUGUAGCAAAGGAACUUGAAAAAUAUUUAAUCUAAAAAUGUUGCAAUAGUGCAUAUUAAUGUUGAGAAGAUCCUCGAAGUUUUUGUUCUUCCAUGAUGAGCAAUUUUCAUCUUUCUUUCUUUUUGCAUAAUGGCAACUUGUUCUCUUCUAGCUGCCGGUAUGCUUCCUGUAGGAGCCUCAGCUAACAACGAAGCCUCCACUUGUUCUUGCAUAGUGGCUUCGUUUCCUCUCUUUACUGCUGGUGGGCUUGGAGCCUUUAACUUUGGAGAGACGGGAGGAGAGAUUUUUGAAGACUUAGAAGUAGUUUUGACAUUACAAUUAUUUGUUGCAGAAGUUGGCAAUGGUAAUGGUAAUGAUGGUAGAGUAGGAGAUUUUCGUGAAGUAAUUUGCCCAUGGUUUUUCCUUUAUUGGGUCUUUCAUGUAAAUUCUCGUGUUCCUGUGUGUUCAAUGCUUGAUACAUUUUAAUGUUUGUUUUUCUUAUUGCUUCUUCGUUUUGAUUUCUUUGUAAGCUGAUGCUGGAAAAUUGGAAAUGGUCCCAAAUCCCAAUUGGGAACCAGUGCUGCUGGACCAUUUGGUUGCAUUAAUCUAAGAGUUUGAAUGUAUUACAUCUCA